rnacentral:tRNA from 3 species
GCUCCCAUCGUUCAAUGGAUAGGACAUAACUUUGCGGAAGUUAAAAUGGAGGUCCGAUUCCUCCUGGGAGCACUA